GUGAUUGCAGAUCAUGAGGUUGCAAGGACAACUGCUCAAGAAGCAAUUCUUCAUCUUUGAGGACUUGAGGUCCUACUGGUUCUCACCGAGGCCACAUUCCGAAGCAUUGUCUUGUGCCCAGGUCCAUUUUAUUAUGCCCAUGGCCGUAUAUGCUCCAUCUCUGGGGUCAUUGGGUUAUUUUCCUUGGUCUGCUUCU